rnacentral:rRNA from 1 species
AGCUCCAAUAGCGUAUAUUAAAGUUGUUGCAGUUAAAAAGCUCGUAGUUGGAUUUCUGGUUGAAAUGAUCGGUUCCGCUCGUUUACUCGUGCGGAUACUCGUGUCAUUUUGUCCAUUUUUUGUGAGGAUGUCUUUCUGCCAUUAAGUUGGUGGGUUGAUGGACUUGCAUCGUUUACUGUGAAAAAAUUAGAGUGUUUAAAGCAGGCGUUUGCCUAUUUUUGAAUACAUUAGCAUGGAAUAAUAAGAUACGACCUUGGUGGUCUAUUUUGUUGGUUUGCACACCAGGGUAAUGAUUAAUAGGGACAGUUGGGGGUAUUCAUAUUUCAGCGUCAGAGGUGAAAUUCUUGGAUCGCUGAAAGAUGAGCUUAGGCGAAAGCAUUUACCAAGGAUGUUUUCAUUA